rnacentral:rRNA from 1 species
GACGAACGCUGGCGGCGUGCUUAAUACAUGCAAGUCAACGACUUUUAGAGUAGCAAUAUUUUAAAGGAAGUGGCGCACGGGUGAGUAACACGUAGGUAAUCUGCCUUCAGGACUGACACAACUCGUCGAAAGACGGGCUAAUAUCAGAUAAUGCAGCGGCUCCGCAUGGAGACAGUUGUUAAAGUACAAGCGCCUGAAGAUGAGCCUGCGGUCCAUUAGCUAGUUGGUAGAGUAACAGCCUACCAAGGCAACGAUGGAUAGCUGGUCUGAGAGGAUGAUCAGCCACACUGGAACUGAGACACGGUCCAGACUCCUACGGGAGGCAGCAGUAAGGAAUAUUGCUCAAUGGCCGAAAGGCUGAAGCAGCAACGCCGCGUGAAGGAUGAAUGGCCUUUGGCCUGUAAACUUCUGUAAAAAGGGAAAAACAAGUACAGGUAAUAUCCUGAUUUGAUUGUACCUUUGAAGUAAGCCCCGGCUAACUACGUGCCA